rnacentral:rRNA from 1 species
GCUACGGGAGGCAGCAGUGGGGAAUAUUGCGCAAUGGGCGAAAGCCUGACGCAGCGACGCCGCGUGAGGGAUGAAGGUCUUCGGAUCGUAAACCUCUGUCAGCAGGGAAGAACGGUCACUGUGCUAAUCAGCAGUGAAUUGACGGUACCUGCAAAGGAAGCACCGGAUAACUCCGUGCCAGCAGUCGCGGUAAUACGGAGGGUGCGAUCGUUAAGCGGAAUUACUGGGCGUAAAGCGCUCGUAGGCGGUAUGGCAAGUCAAGGGUGAAAUCCCCGCGCUCAACGUGGGAACUGCCUUUGAAACUGGAAAGCUGGAGUGUGUGAGAGGCUGGUGGAAUUCCAGGUGUAGGAGUGAAAUCCGUAGAUAUCUGGAGGAACAUCAGUGGCGAAGGCGACUAUCUGGCACAUAACUGACGCUGAGGAGCGAAAGCGUGGGUAGCAAACAGGAUGAGAUACCCCAGUAGUC